rnacentral:rRNA from 4 species
CCUCGAAUCAGGUAGGAAUACCCGCUGAACUUAAGCAUAUCAAUAAGCGGAGGA